AGUGAACGCUGGCGGUAGGCCUAACACAUGCAAGUCGAACGGCAGCACAGGAGAGCUUGCUCUCUGGGUGGCGAGUGGCGGACGGGUGAGGAAUACAUCGGAAUCUACUUUUUCGUGGGGAUAACGUAGGGAAACUUACGCUAAUACCGCAUACGACCUACGGGUGAAAGCAGGGGACCUUCGGGCCUUGCGCGAUUGAAUGAGCCGAUGUCGGAUUAGCUAGUUGGCGGGGUAAAGGCCCACCAAGGCGACGAUCCGUAGCUGGUCUGAGAGGAUGAUCAGACACACUGGAACUGAGACACGGUCCAGACGCCUACGGGAGGCAGCAGUGGGGAAUAUUGGACAAUGGGCGCAAGCCUGAUCCAGCCAUACCGCGUGGGUGAAGAAGGCCUUCGGGUUGUAAAGCCCUUUUGUUGGGAAAGAAAUCCAGCUGGCUAAUACCCGGUUGGGAUGACGGUACCCAAAGAAUAAGCACCGGCUAACUUCGUGCCAGCCGCCGCCGUAA
rnacentral:rRNA from 1 species